rnacentral:lncRNA from 1 species
GAACGCGGUAUGCAAAUGGCCUGGAGAGGCCGAGGCCCGAACACUGCGCCCAUUGUCCCGGGCGCUCAAAGCGCCGAGCAGCUGCGCAGAAUUUCUGGGCUCGGACCCUCGGCCGCCACGCUAAUGUCAUCAUUGCAAAACAUCAGAUUCUGAGAACUAUGCAGUCUGAAUUCAUUAGCAGCCUUCCCGGCGAAGAUUCUUUUCCCCGUGACAAGUUUCAAAGUCCAGACCCCCUCCAACGUUGAUAGGGGUAGGAAGAGGAGGAGGGACCCGGGGAGGGGGGUCUUUCGCAAGUGGGGCCUCGCGGGAUCCCUGCUCUCCUCCUUCUGCUGCGUUCUACAACUUUAAAAGCCUUCCUUGGGGUUCUGAGCAAGGAUGUCUGACUCGAAUGACCUGAGAUUUGGACAUUUUCCCGUUUUCUCUCAAGUGUAGCUUUAAUGUUGUGAGUUUAAAUUCACCAAAAGAGGCCCAGAUAUCAAGUCGAGUGAAUUUCACAGCAUCUUCUUCUGUUUUAAUCGUUUCUGAAGUCAUAUCCUUUAGGGUGAACUCACAACAAUGCAAGUCAGAGAGACUGCGCACCCUAAAGCAAACCAGUUAAAACGUCAGGCCAGAUCUUCAAGCUACAGGAUUGCAAGCAGCUCAUAAACUUCCAGUCCCCACCCUGAGACAAGGACUCCAGGCUGCCCUCCCCUCUCUGCCGCAUCUGAGGCUGGAAAAACUUCCUAUAAGAAGGCAAGAGAAAGCCACCAGAAUGGUACAAUGUGGCUUGAAGACUCUGGAAAGUCACAGAUCAGACCCUGCAGAAGGUUCCUCGUGUGUGCCUGGGCAACCUUGCCUCCAUCCUCUGGCCCCAGUUCCUGCCACUCCAGGUGCAGUCAGCAAUCUUACACGAACUCUGCGGUAAUGUCUGAAGAAUCUGGCUCCAAGUGUUUGAUAAUGACGAGAUAUGCAUGACCAAGGAGACUGUGUGAUGUCUGCACAGUUCGAAAGCCCGCAUUCCUGUUACUUUCCAAUCUCAGGUCAGCAUUUUGGAACUUUUCUGCUUUAAUUUUUCCACACACACCUCUCGCUGCCACCUCCUACCAAAACAAAGCAAACAAACAAAGUUUGAGCAAGAAUUUACAUCUGGGAAAAUGCUUCUACUCAUCAAGAGUGCAAUUCCUUUUUACUCCUAUAAUUGAUUCACAGCUUCAAAAAGCUGUGAAGUCAUACUUUGGUCAUGGAAGUUGCAGGAGACCAUAUUUGCCAACAUUUUAUUUUAAAGAAGGUAUUUAAAACUAUUUUACAUAUUAACCACGAUUUCUAGAAGUGAAGUUAUAAAAAUCAAAAGUUAUAUUUUACCUUUUGAUAAGUGAAAAGAGAUUGCUCCAAGAAUGUUGUUUUCAAUAAAUUCAGUAUAACUGCAACACAAAAAUUCUGCAUACAGGCUUCAUAUAAUUUUGCAUACACACAUUAUAAUUUUAUGUAUUUGAGAGUUGU